UCAACUAAUAUGGCGGAAGUAACUUAGCUUACUUUAUAUCAUCACACUAAAAUGAGCUAUUUCGAUAUUUUCAGAAUUUGGGCUGCUUAGAGUUCCUACAUUUUCAAUACUCUAUUGAAAAUUAUAAAGCACUCUAAAUAUGCCUUGCCUGACUUCACUGCCUCUGAGCCUGUCAGAGAUUUUGGAGGCUCGAGGGGGGCCUUUACAGGAGUUAGAAAUCUGGGCUCUUCUUUGUCAGUGUGCAGAAGCUCUACAAGACUUGAUAAUAAAAGGAGAUGUUUUUGAGGAUGAAGCUUUUCGUCACAUGGUCACUCCAAACAGUUUGUUGAUUCGCAACAACGGAACGAUCUUACUGUCAGAAGUGGUUCAAAAUCUUCAAGGCUCCCUCUACAUGGCACCUGAGUUUGACUUAAACACAUACCAUAAAUUGUCAGAUACAGCUUUCGAGAAGGUAGUUAGGUCACAUU
rnacentral:sRNA from 1 species